UAGCGGCGAGCGAACGGGGACCAGGCCAGUAUUUCAUUGUGCGUCAGCGGAACGUUCUGGAAAGUUCGGCCAUAGCGGGUGAUAGCCCCGUACGCGAAAACAAACUUUGAAAUCUCGAGUAGGGCGGGACACGUGAAAUCCUGUCUGAACAUGGGGGGACCACCCUCCAAGCCUAAGUACUCCUUACCGACCGAUAGUGAACCAGUACCGUGAGGGAAAGGCGAAAAGAACCCCGGAGAGGGGAGUGAAAUAGAACCUGAAACCGCAUGCGUACAAGCAGUGGGAGCAUCUUUACGAUGUGACUGCGUACCUUUUGUAUAAUGGGUC
rnacentral:rRNA from 14 species